GACGAACGCUGGCGGCGUGCUUAACACAUGCAAGUCGAACGAAGAGCGAUGGAAGCUUGCUUCUAUCAAUCUUAGUGGCGAACGGGUGAGUAACGCGUAAUCAACCUGCCCUUCAGAGGGGGACAACAGUUGGAAACGACUGCUAAUACCGCAUACGAUCUAAUCUCGGCAUCGAGGAUAGAUGAAAGGUGGCCUCUACAUGUAAGCUAUCACUGAAGGAGGGGAUUGCGUCUGAUUAGCUAGUUGGAGGGGUAACGGCCCACCAAGGCGAUGAUCAGUAGCCGGUCUGAGAGGAUGAACGGCCACAUUGGGGCUGAGACACGGCCCAGACUCCUACGGGAGGCAGCAGUGGGGAAUCUUCUGCAAUGGACGAAAGUCUGACGGAGCAACGCCGCGUGAGUGAUGACGGCCUUCGGGUUGUAAAGCUCUGUUAAUCGGGACGAAAGGCCUUCUUGCGAAUAGUGAGAAGGAUUGACGGUACCGGAAUAGAAAGCCACGGCUAACUACGUG
rnacentral:rRNA from 1 species